GUAAAUGGAAUUCUUUCUUGAGGAGCUCUUCAACUUAUUCUUUGCUAGUGUUUACAAAUACAAUGCCUUUUCUCAUACUGAUCUCUUAUCCUGCAAAUUUGUGUUUGCUUUAGUAGGUUUUUUAUUUGGUUGGUGUUUAAAGACAGGCCAUGGUUGGCCUCUGUUGCCAUUUUCAUGAGUUCAGUUGUGCCUUCUUGGAAAAGCUCAUCAGAGCUGUGCUUGUUGACUGUUGAAAGCCAUACAUGUGGCCAGCCACCUCUCCCAACUAGUUGUAUAGGCUCUACCCCAAUUGCAGAUGGCCUCGGAGUUCUUAGGAAGGGCUAGUCUGUACGUUGGAAAAGACUGGGGGCAGAGCUUCAUCUGUGUAUCCACAUGGGAGUCACUAUCCAGAUGCAUUAAAGCUUGUCUGCAGAAGGAUCCGAGUGUCCUGCGUGUAUUUCUUGCCGGCGAGAACAUACAGCGCUCGGGACAUAUGGUGCUCGGGACAGCGCUCCGGCACUGUGGAGACCCCUCUAACGGGGCGGAUUCAGAACUGCAGGAUGGUAAAUUCGGAGAGGGGAGCUAUUGUGUUUUCCCACAGGAUGAAGAAAAUCCUCUGUGGAUCCCAGAAAGACUCACCCGAAGAGCCCCUUCGGACCUUCAAAAGUUGAAACUCCACCCUCUCCCCGGGAGUUGAGAGCCGCUAUUGUUAUCCAGAUUAACUCCUGUCCUUGACAGAGAGAAAGGGGUGGGGAUGGGAUUGUUUGAUACAGCCGUUUGCGGAUUGCUGUUACUUCUGGC
rnacentral:lncRNA from 1 species